UGGGCGAAAGCCUGAUCCAGCCAUGCCGCGUGUGUGAAGAAGGUCUUCGGAUUGUAAAGCACUUUAAGUUGGGAGGAAGGGCAGUUGCCUAAUACGUAACUGUUUUGACGUUACCGACAGAAUAAGCACUGGCUAACUCUGUG
rnacentral:rRNA from 1 species